rnacentral:rRNA from 1 species
AUGGGCGCAAGCCUGAUCCAGCCAUGCCGCGUGAGUGAUGAAGGCCUUCUGGUUGUAAAGCUCUUUUGUCACGGAACAAACGGUGAGGGCUAAUAUCCUAUGCUAAUGACGGUACCAGAAAAAUAAGCACCGGCUAACUACGUGCCAGCAGCCGCGGUAAUA